UACGUAGGGACCGAGCGUUGUCCGGAAUCAUUGGGCGUAAAGAGCGUGUAGGCGGCCUUUUAAGUCCUGCGUGAAAUCCUGCGGCUCAACCGCAGACGGUCGUGGGAAACUGGAAGGCUAGAGUGCGGGAGAGGAGAGUGGAAUUCCGAGUGUAGAGGUGAAAUUCGUAGAUAUUCGGAAGAACACCAGUGGCGAAGGCGACUCGCUGGACAAGUAUUGACGCUGAGGUGCGAAAGCGUGGGGAGCAAACAGG
rnacentral:rRNA from 1 species